UGUGUGUUAGUGGAAGCGUCUGGAAAGGCGCGCGAUACAGGGUGACAGCCCCGUACACAAAAAUGCACAUGCUGUGAGCUCGAUGAGUAGGGCGGGACACGUGGUAUCCUGUCUGAAUAUGGGGGGACCAUCCUCCAAGGCUAAAUACUCCUGACUGACCGAUAGUGAACCAGUACCGUGAGGGAAAGGCGAAAAGAACCCCGGCGAGGGGAGUGAAAAAGAACCUGAAACCGUGUACGUACAAGCAGUGGGAGCACGCUUAGGCGUGUGACUGCGUACCUUUUGUAUAAUGGGUCAGCGACUUAUAUUCUGUAGCAAGGUUAACCGAAUAGGGGAGCCGAAGGGAAACCGAGUCUUAACUGGGCGUUAAGUUGCAGGGUAUAGACCCGAAACCCGGUGAUCUAGCCAUGGGCAGGUUGAAGGUUGGGUAACACUAACUGGAGGACCGAACCGACUAAUGUUGAAAAAUUAGCGGAUGACUUGUGGCUGGGGGUGAAAGGCCAAUCAAACCGGGAGAUAGCUGGUUCUCCCCGAAAGCUAUUUAGGUAGCGCCUCGUGAAUUCAUCUCCGGGGGUAGAGCACUGUUUCGGCAAGGGGGUCAUCCCGACUUACCAACCCGAUGCAAACUGCGAAUACCGGAGAAUGUUAUCACGGGAGACACACGGCGGGUGCUAACGUCCGUCGUGAAGAGGGAAACAACCCAGACCGCCAGCUAAGGUCCCAAAGUCAUGGUUAAGUGGGAAACGAUGUGGGAAGGCCCAGACAGCCAGGAUGUUGGCUUAGAAGCAGCCAUCAUUUAAAGAAAGCGUAAUAGCUCACUGGUCGAGUCGGCCUGCGCGGAAGAUGUAACGGGGCUAAACCAUGCACCGAAGCUGCGGCAGCGACGCUUAUGCGUUGUUGGGUAGGGGAGCGUUCUGUAAGCCUGUGAAGGUGUGCUGUGAGGCAUGCUGGAGGUAUCAGAAGUGCGAAUGCUGACAUAAGUAACGAUAAAGCGGGUGAAAAGCCCGCUCGCCGGAAGACCAAGGGUUCCUGUCCAACGUUAAUCGGGGCAGGGUGAGUCGACCCCUAAGGCGAGGCCGAAAGGCGUAGUCGAUGGGAAACAGGUUAAUAUUCCUGUACUUGGUGUUACUGCGAAGGGGGGACGGAGAAGGCUAUGUUGGCCGGGCGACGGUUGUCCCGGUUUAAG
rnacentral:rRNA from 1 species